GACCAGAUGAAAAAUGAAACAA
rnacentral:rRNA from 1 species